rnacentral:misc_RNA from 1 species
UUGCUGCAAGUGUUGGCACGUGUUUUCUGUGUGUCGGGCGGGCCCUGUGCCGGCCCGCCGGGUCCCCAGCCAUUCUGCUCUUCUUGCUAAUGAUCCUUCCGCAGGUUCACCUACGGAAA